CUGAAUUUUGGCUGAAUCACGGGUUUAUCAAGUGAUGCUCAGAACUAACCUAACUUUAUACCCAGGUCGAGUAUUCGCCUGGGUGUGGUCCGGGUCCGGACUGAGUGGGUAUUUUUACCACCCCUCGUUUUAACAUAAGUAUAACUUAACUAUUUUACUAUUGUAAUAUGAUAAUGACUAAAAUAUCUCAAUAAAAACGUGUUUUGUCAUAAUAAUUUAGAUAUAUAAUUUUAGAGUCAGACUAUUCCGAUAAAGGACAAUAGAAAUGUAUUCUUCUCUUUAAACUUUUUCUAUUAUUUAAUUAUUUGCGAUAAAAUUUUAAUUAAUUUGUUUUUCCACCGUGUUGUAUCCUAAUUUAGUUGCCAUGUUUAUAUAUUACAAGAAUUUUAUUUUAGAUUAGGGAAUUACUUCUUAAAUUCGAAUUGGAUGUAUGAUAAUAGAAAAGAAUUUAUAUUGUUCAAGUCAAAUAAACUAAAGAGAGAGAAGUGUAAGUAGGAUUAGUCCUAUUUGUAUUUGUCCUUAAAUACAAUUGUAAAAUAAUAGGAGAUCUAUGAGAUUAAGGAAGGAAUGCCAACUAUUAGAGUUUUAUAACCUGUAUGUGUUAAUGUUUUUUUAUGAAGCCCAACAAUUUCAUCAUCCUCCUAUUGGGUGAAGGCAGUGCCGCGCUGGCUCAGAUGUGAACAGAAACCACAGUAGGCAGCUUAACAUCUAUCUUUGAUUUGAUUUUGGCGCGAUGGGUGUUGCCUGCAUCUUCUUUUUAAAGAGGAAAUUAUUGACAUGUUUUCAAAUUCUACAAGAAGUUAUAAGCUUUGUGCUUAGAAUUCUUUCUGGGGAUCUCCAUUGAAAAGUUGAGUUCUUGUUUUCCAAUUGUGUAAAACUUACGUACCAUUGGCAUUUGGAUGUAAUCUUUUCUCUGCAUUUGUAAUUUAUUAGUUGGAUUCCAGCAAUCAUUUUUAGAGUAGUGCAUAACUCUUUAAUUCGAGCUUGGCACUUGGUUAUUAUAAAACUAAAGGAGGAUAGAUUAUUACAAAAGACUAACUGAAAAACUAAAAAGCACAUAGAAAGAAUUCUCAGGUUAAAGAGAAAAAGAAUUAGUUAUAAGAAUUAAGAAGAUUGAGCAGUAAGAACUAAGUAGGGCUUAACGAUAUUGAUGGAACCCAAUUUGAAUUUAACAACUAGUUAAUUAUAAAUCAAAACUAUAUAAUUAAGUUACAAGACAAACGUUGUUUUCUUCCCUACCAAUACCAUGAACAAUUCUCAUGGCUGUUUUAUAUUACAAAAGAUAACUUAUGUAAUUUAAAAGAACGUGGACAUUACUAAUCUAACGACUAACUCUAAGUUAAUGAAUAGUGGGAGAGUAUCUAACAGUAUAACUUCUUGUGGGAAACUUGAUCGUGAGUCAAAUUUGAAAUUGUAUUUAUCUAUGAAACGUUGGUUUAGGGUUAUUUUUGCUAUUGGAGGGGGUGUCAUCAAAAUCUUUGAUUUUUUUUUUUUUAUAUAUAUAGUUGAUGGAGUAAAUGAAGGGUUUUAAAGAGUUUUUGGGAGGGGUGCUAAAAGCUUUGACUCUAGUAUUUAUUUGUUUUGCAUUAGUUAUUUGAAUAGUGGUAUUUGAUCUCUUUAUUAUAUUUGAU
rnacentral:lncRNA from 1 species